rnacentral:rRNA from 1 species
GACGGGACCGCACAAGCGGUGGAUGAUGUGGUUUAAUUCGAUGCAACGCGAAAACCUUACCCACCUUUGACAUGUACGGAAUCCUUUAGAGAUAGAGGAGUGCUCGAAAGAGAACCGUAACACAGGUGCUGCAUGGCUGUCGUCAGCUCGUGUCGUGAGAUGUUGGGUUAAGUCCCGCAACGAGCGCAACCCUUGUCAUUAGUUGCUACAUUCAGUUGGGCACUCUAAUGAGACUGCCGGUGACAAACCGGAGGAAGGUGGGGAUGACGUCAAGUCCUCAUGGCCCUUAUAGGUGGGGCUACACACGUCAUACAAUGGAUGGUACAAAGGGUCGCCAACCCGCGAGGGGGAGCCAAUCCCAUAAAGCCAUUCGUAGUCCGGAUCGCAGUCUGCAACUCGACUGCGUGAAGUCGGAAUCGCUAGUAAUCGUGGAUCAGAAUGUCACGGUGAAUACGUUCCCGGGCCUU